rnacentral:lncRNA from 1 species
GCCGUUGUCGGGGACUGAUUAGAAGUUUAUUUAAUAUUUCCGAUAGGACUUAGUAGUACUUCAGGCGUUUACUUUUUAUUUUUAUUUUUCAAAUUCUUGUUUUUUUUUUCAGGCACUGCAUACGAUGGCUACUAAUGAACAAAUUUGUGCUCUACAGGAGCAGCUGCAACAGCUGUUGGACGCUCAAGCUGCUAAAGAAGCUCAGAAUCAGC